UAUAUUUACAUGGGAGCCAUGCUUUGACUUUGUGAAAAUUGUGCUUUGACAGGGUUGAGUCUGUCAGGCUUAUGUGGGUUUGUUUGAACAGCUUCUUUCCUUCUGGUUUGAAGAUCAAAUUUUCUUAGCAUGGCAUUCAGGGUUCUGUACACUGUAGUGCCCGCUGCCAUCUCUUCUCGGUAAAUCAUCCCGUAGACUCCUCUCCCCACCCACACCGUCCCCUUUUCGGGCAGAGUCAGAUGCCCCCCUACCCUGUGCCCCUAGCAUUCACAGACACACACAUUUAUUGAUAAAUUGAACAAUUUCCUACCCCUGUGGUUGACUUGGGCUAUAGAGCUUGAUUCAGAUAAUGCAGUCGGUCUCCUGGCCACAGCGAGGGCUUCAUAGGGUCACAAAACCCACAGGCCAGUCAGCACCAUCCUCAGGAUAUUUAGUGGGAUGGUGUGACAAAGCCACUUUCUCUCCUGCAGACAAAAGCCUGUGGCCCUGGAAUCUGGUGGCAGCCAUCUCAGGACCAUGGGAAGCCAAGCUCUGGAGGAAGCAGCAAGUGGCUUUGAGAGUUGGGAAGAAUGGAAAUACAGCUUCUGGAUCAGGACUUUAGAGCCCUGCUUCUAGACCUCUCAGUUCAACAAGCCCAUAGAUCUCUCUGAUCACUGAAGCCUGUUGAAAUCAGGCUUUCUCUUUCCAGAAGCAUCCUAGCCCGUACAAUCCCCAUACUGCUCAUUUGCAUAUCCAUCAGGAUUUCCUCAGUAAUUUUGUAUCUGCUGAACUUCUGCCCAGAGAGAAAUGCCUUUGUGAUCUCAGCGCCUUGGUUUGUGGCUCAGUGGGCCUCAGCAUGUGUGCCCUUAAUUAGCUAUAGGAAAGGUUUGGGGAGCUAUAUACUGAUAUCUCUGCAAGUAAUGAAAUGAAAACAUACUUUCCUCACUGUCUGCAGAGUCCAGGGUCUCCAGAAUUCCAAGGCUUGCUAACCUUCCCUGGCAUCCCUGGCCACCCACCUGGAGCCACAAGAAUCUCUCCAUGCCUCUACCCAUGACACCCGCCCCUGCCCUCUUUCUCCACAGGCUCUCAGAGAGGAAAUGCCCGGGCAGCUAGCCAGCCUGGCAAACUGGGGACCUCACAGAGCCCCUCAGAAAUGUGCUCACAUCAUACUCAACAAGAUGCACUUUGUUAGCUCGGAUCUGGCCAGUGUGGAAACAGCGUUGGGUGGGGAGACUAGUCGGAAAGCUGCAGAGCAACUUCCACUCUCUGAGCAAACCCGCUUCAGGGUCAGUCUGGGAAAUCACCCAGAUAUUUUGAAAACCUGCUAUAUGCCUGCUGCUGUGUUACAAGCUGGAGAAAUCUUGGUGUGAGACCUGGAGCUACCUGAAGGCAUGGAUUACAUCCUGUUCUUGUUAUCCCAGUACCCAGCACAGCCUCUGGCAGUUGGAAGGUACUUGUUUGAAGCCUGCCACUAUGCUAUGUGACAACUGGGAACCAACCUGCAUCCGAUCAUCAGCCAGUCACCUGGAAAAAGACUUUCCCAGGCCCACACAUUUUCUCGAAGGUGACUUAAAACCAAAGCUCAUCUACAACUCAUUCACAUUUUAGAUACUCUUCUCUGAUCAGGCUGGUGACAUGCCAAAUCCACUUAGAUUUCUAGGAGAAGGUAGGCAGAUUGUGAGGAGCAGCUGGAGAACAUGGCGAGCUUAGAGACAGGUGGUGAAGGAGGAAAAUAAACUGUUGGAUGAUAAAGAUGGAGGCCAAAGACGAGGCUGGUUUCCUUUUCCAUGUUUCCAGGGCCAGUCAGCCCUGAUAGAAGCUCAUCAAGUUAGCUUCAACCUGGGGUCUGGAGAGAAGUGAAGUAUCCUAGAAAAACUAAAGACUAAAAACAAAGAAUUAAUUGAAUAGCAUUUAAAGCUAUGCCCCCAGCCCUGUGUAAAGUACUGCAUUUGCCCCCCUGCUGAGGUCUGCUUCCCUGCCAGCUUCAGAUUAUUGCUGCUGAUAGAUGUAGUCAAAGUUGAUGAAAUCAUUUGCAGAUUUCACACCUAACAAUGAAAAUAUUUCCUUUAUUCAUUAAAAAUUGGAUAUGCUGAGGGGAGUCUCAUGAAUUCGUUUUGGAGUGCCCACCAGAUUUUGUGGCUUAAAUCCAUCUCCAGGUAGCCUUGUGGUCAGUGAGGCUCUUCUUUAGGCAGAUUAAUUCAUUCUAGAAAGUGAGAUGAUGAGAUAACAAUAAGCACAGAAAUAUUCGCUGUUUGGAAGGCUUGCAUUCCAAUGUGAAUAUUAAGCUAAUUUGCUUACCUUAAUCCCAUCUUUGUGCUAACUUGCUUUUCCAAAUGACGAUGCGGUUCUGGAAUCUCAGACCUCCCUUUUGAUGCAUUCAGGAAGAGCAGAUUGGCUAGAUUCCCUUAAUGGCACUGCAACUUUGCUAAAAAACAACACAGAAACAUCCCCCUAUAAUCAAUGCACUAUUGCAGAAAUCUCUUCAAAUGAAAGCAUUGACUGAUUUAUUUUUCCUGAUGAUAUUUGAGAAAAAAAAGCUUUCAUCAACAAAAUAAUUACCUUGAUUGUAAUUCAGAAGCCACCUCCACAUUUUCUAAUUCCAUACCAGCACUAAAGUCAAUUUAUUUUACUAAGGUAGAGGACAACAGGCACAGUUUUGUUUAAGCUACAUUGACUUUCUGACCACCCUGCUCUUGGAUGAUUUGAUUUGGAGGCUCCCACCAGAAAUAACGAGUUAAAGAGGUAAUACAUCCUGAACUUCUUUUUUUUCCCCUCUGUGGACAAAUUUGUCUACUCACCUGGGAGUAAUAUUGCCAUUAAUUCCAGUGCCCUUUUUCUCUUUCUUUGUACAUCAGAGGAUUUCCACUCACCUUGUAAAAAUCAGGCUAAAGGCUGUAUCAUCCAUGAAAACUUUUCUGAUUCCCCACUUAGCACAUUCUUUCCUCUGUGUACAUUUCUGUCUCCUAUUACUGUAUGUGUGUGUACAAAUAUUUUAAAAAUGAAACCAAGUUUUUAAAUUUUGAGAUGAUUAUAGAUUCAUAUGUAGUGGUAAUAAAUAAUACAAGGACAACACCUUUCAAAACUAUGUGCAAUAUCACAACCUAGGUAUUGACAUUGAUACAGUCAGGAUACAGAAGAGUUCAUCACAAGGGUAUUCCUAUUGCUCUUUUAUAGCCACACACACACAUCCCGCAUCCCCAGGCCCCAUCCCAGAGCCCUGACCACCAUCAAUGUGCUUUUCAUUUAUGUCAUUUU